rnacentral:antisense_RNA from 19 species
UCCAAUGAUGAGCUGAAUGAGGGGAUCGAAAGAUCCGCCGUUUUGCUCUUAAGUACGGUACUGCGAACCUCGUUCAGUUCAUCACCAAC